AGUAGCUCAAGAAGUAAUUGGAGAAGUCCAGGUCUAAUUGGUUCACCGCGUGGUCCUGUAGCUGAGGAAGGUGCUGAUGUAGGGUCGGAAGACGAAGAGGGUUGCGAAAAAGUGGAUGAACGCGAGGCACAAGAACGGGAGGAAGUUUUCGAAUACUACUUUAAAGUGGUUCUUGUGCCAGAGGUUAGAUGGCAGUCGCAUCGUAGUAUUUCGAAUCGCUAGAUGGAACUGUCCCAAGUGUUUCUUCUACCGGACACUAGAUGGCACUGUAAAAGUUCGUUCUUCCGGACACUAGAUAGUCCAAAAAAGUUUUUUCUUCCGGACACUAGAUGGCACUGUUAAAAACGUUUCUUAAGCCAGACGUUAGAUGCCAGUCGAAAAACUUUGUUAUUUCUAACCGCUAGAUGACAUUUGUUGUCUGCACGCGCAAAGAUUUGUUUCAUUCUGAUCUAGUUUUCUGCCCUUUGUCACAAGGUAAGUGUUUUCUUGUAUUCCUAGUGUGAUUACUUUGAUAUGGUUUUGUUUAACAGUGCCGAGAAGGAUAUUUUGCCAGAGAGUGUCCACAAGCUGGUGGGGGCGGUGGCAGUGGCCCGUUGACGUCACAAAUAUGGGGAAGGGGACGUUUCUCGAAGGACAAAACCGUGGCGGUUGGGGAAGUGAUACCUGCCAUGAGGUAAAAAAGAAAACAAAAACGUUUUAGGUGUCCAUUUUUAACGAAGAAGAGGGCCAUGUAGCAAGGGAUUUCCCACAAGGAGGAGGCAUUGGUGGCAGCAAGUGUUACAACAUAAGCACCAACUGUAUCUUCACAAAAAUAUUUUAUGUUGCAGUGUUCAUUGUUUUACCACAGCGUAAUGAAGCUGGCCACACCUCGGAAAGCUGCCCGAAUCUAUUCAGUGAAUUGACGGAAGAUGGAAAGCCGAGUGAACAAUAUAUUCCGGAAGCUGUGACAUGUGAAAGUAGUCCUCCAGGUUACAGAAAAAGAUGUACCUCGAUAAAUAACAUCAUUCGAAGAAGCCGGCCUGCGCCUACUACUACUUCAAAACAUUAAGAUUGCUGGCUACAUAAAAUCAACACCUAUACAGAAAGCUUCAGUUGCAGAUAUUCUUGCCAAAAGAGAUUUGAUUACUUGUGCUGUCACGGGCUCCGGCAAAACGGUAAUCCAAUUAAUGAACGCUGUGUAAUUUUGAAACCUUGAUGCCUUCGUACUAACUUGAUUCGAAUGGGUCGAUAUGAACUGGGUAAGUUGAGGUAAAAGUAAUUUUGAGUGGGCACGUCUGUGAUUGCGACUACGAAAAGGUCCAAUUGCAUUUAAGAUACUCAAGAAACCCUUCGUGACAUUCGUUGAUUAAGUCAUCUAAAAUUUCACAUUUUUUCAUAUAGGCGGCGUACU